AACGAACGCUGGCGGCGUGGAUUAGGCAUGCAAGUCGAACGAGAAUCUAAUGAAUCAAGUUUUCGGACAAGAUUCAUUGGAGGAAAGUGGCGGAAGGGUGAGUACAACAUGGAUAAUCUACCUCUAAGUUUGGUAUAACAUCGGGAAAUCGGUGAUAAUCCCAAAUGUGGUGCGUCGGGACAUCCCGGCAAAACUAAAGGCGGGGACCGCAAGGCCUGCCGCUUGGAGAUGAGUCCGUGCACUAUCAGCUUGUUGGUGAGGUAAUGGCUCACCAAGGCUAUGACGGUUAGCUGGUCUGAGAGGAUGGUCAGCCACACUGGGACUGAGAUACUGCCCAGACUCCUACGGGAGGCUGCAGUCGAGAAUCAUUCGCAAUGGGCGAAAGCCUGACGGUGCGACGUCGCGUGGAGGAUGAAGGUCUUCGGAUUGUAAACUCCUGUCAUGUGGGAUAAAUGGCCGGGAUAUGAAUAAUAUCGCCGGAAUGAUAGUACCACAGGAGGAAGAGACGGCUAACUCUGUGCCAGCCGCCGCCGUAAAAC
rnacentral:rRNA from 1 species